rnacentral:rRNA from 1 species
GCUUAACACAUGCAAGUCGAGGGGCAGCAUGGUCUUAGCUUGCUAAGGCCGAUGGCGACCGGCGCACGGGUGAGUAACACGUAUCCAACCUGCCGUCUACUCUUGGACAGCCUUCUGAAAGGAAGAUUAAUACAAGAUGGCAUCAUGAGUCCGCAUGUUCACAUGAUUAAAGGUAUUCCGGUAGACGAUGGGGAUGCGUUCCAUUAGAUAGUAGGCGGGGUAACGGCCCACCUAGUCUUCGAUGGAUAGGGGUUCUGAGAGGAAGGUCCCCCACAUUGGAACUGAGACACGGUCCAAACUCCUACGGGAGGCAGCAGUGAGGAAUAUUGGUCAAUGGGCGCAGGCCUGAACCAGCCAAGUAGCGUGAAGGAUGACUGCCCUAUGGGUUGUAAACUUCUUUUAUAAAGGAAUAAAGUCGGGUAUGUAUACCCGUUUGCAUGUACUUUAUGAAUAAGGAUCGGCUAACUCCGUGCCAGCAGCCGCGGUAAUACGGAGGAUCCGAGCGUUAUCCGGAUUUAUUGGGUUUAAAGGGAGCGUAGAUGGAUGUUUAAGUCAGUUGUGAAAGUUUGCGGCUCAACCGUAAAAUUGCAGUUGAUACUGGAUAUCUUGAGUGCAGUUGAGGCAGGCGGAAUUCGUGGUGUAGCGGUGAAAUGCUUAGAUAUCA